GCGAGCUGGGUUCAGAACGUCGUGAGACAGUUCGGUCCCUAUCCGUCGCGGGCGCAGGAAAUUUGAGAGGAGCUGUCCUUAGUACGAGAGGACCGGGAUGGACGCACCGCUGGUGUACCAGUUGUUCUGCCAAGGGCAUCGCUGGGUAGCUAUGUGCGGACGGGAUAAGUGCUGAAAGCAUCUAAGCAUGAAGCCCCCCUCAAGAUGAGAUUUCCCAUUCCGCAAGGAAGUAAGAUCCCUGAAAGAUGAUCAGGUUGAUAGGUCUGAGGUGGAAGCGUGGUGACACGUGGAGCUGACAGAUACUAAUAGAUCGAGGACUUAACCUAU
rnacentral:rRNA from 1 species